rnacentral:rRNA from 1 species
UACGAAGGGGGCGAGCGUUGUUCGGAAUUACUGGGCGUAAAGCGCGCGCAGGCGGUUUCUUAAGUCUGAUGUGAAAGCCCACGGCUCAACCGUGGAGGGUCAUUGGAAACUGGGGAACUUGAGUGCAGAAGAGAAAAGCGGAAUUCCACGUGUAGCGGUGAAAUGCGUAGAGAUGUGGAGGAACACCAGUGGCGAAGGCGGCUUUUUUGGUCUGUAACUGACGCUGAGGCGCGAAAGCGUGGGGAGCAAACAGGAU